CCUACGGGAGGCAGCAGUGAGGAAUAUUGGGCAAUGGAGGCAACUCUGACCCAGCCAUGCCGCGUGAGUGAAGAAGGUUUUCGGAUUGUAAAGCUCUGUCGGAUGUGACGAUGAUGACGGUAGCAUCUAAAGAAGACCCGGCUAAAUUCUUGCCAGCAGCCGCGGUAAUACGAAGGGGGCACGCGUUGUUCGGAAUUACUGGGCGGAAAGGCAGUGGAGGCGGUUUAGUAAGAUCGUGGUUAAAUCCCAGGGCUUAACUUUGGAAUUGCCAUUAUAACUAUUAGACUAGAAUUACAGAGAGGAUAGCGGAAUACCCAGUGUAGAGGUGAAAUUCGUAGAUAUUGGGUAGAACACCAGUGGCGAAGGCGACUAUCUGGCUGUACAUUGACGCUGAGGCUCGAAGGUGCGGGUAGCAAACAGGAUUAGAUACCCUGGUAGUC
rnacentral:rRNA from 1 species